GGGGUUGUGGCUCAGUGGCAAAGCGCUUGCCUCAUAUGUGAGGCACUGGGUUCAAUCCUCAACACCA
rnacentral:tRNA from 1 species